ensembl:lncRNA
CAGAGGUCUUUGUCUUUUCUUCACUGUUUAUGAUUGUCGAUUUGGUUAUUUGUCAAUAUAACUAACAUUCUGUUAAAGUAACUGUCAACGGUAUACGGGCUGGUUCAGCCUGGUUCCGUGACUAGCAGGGCAGAGGGAUUCACGAAUCUGCGCCUCCAGAAAAGGGAAACAGGGGACCCUGAAUAAUUAAAAACAGCAGCAACGAUCUGAGGAGAAACUAAUUUAGUAAAUAUGAUAUCGGAAUGCAAGACACUAUAAUACAGUAUAAUUAGAAUUGGAGCUAAUAAAUCAAAUAUAAUGAGUAAGAGUGUCCAAAAGGUGAAAAGGCCUCACCAUAACGCUGAGGUGAGACGCGCAGUCAGGUCAAGCAGCAGGGAGGAGAGCCAAAAGAGAGAAGGUCUCAGGACCUUGCCAGGGGUUAUAUCUCCUCUCUGAACGCAAAGUCCUCUGGGAUAUGUAGUUCUUCUCUUCCAGACAGGUACUCAGAACUGGAGCAUUAACUCUUUAACUCUCAGUGUGCUACAUGAUGUUAUGAUAUAGAAUACCAAUAACCAAAAAUCCUAAAACCAUGACAGUAAGCAAUUUUAUUUUCUAAACUAUUAAUGAUCAAUGCUUUUAUCAAAUUGUGUUUUAUUAUGGGAAAAUAUUUUAGUGAAUUUCUGAGUAUUUUUUUCAAAUAACAUUUAAAAGAAUAGUUACCUUUUUUUCAGAUUACCUAUUGUAUUUCUUAAAACAAUAAACUCAACUAGUGUAUCAUAUAAAUAUCCAUUUUAUUCUAUUUAAGCCCAAAUCCCUAUUUUAUAUAGAAUAAGUAGGGAUGUUAAAAUUCAAGUUAGUGGCUUUUUUCUCUUUUACUAUAUUUUUUUCCUUUUUCUUAUGGUAAGCCUUUGUUGAUUGAUAAUGUAACAAACAAGAAAGCUUUUUAUACAUGGCUUUAUUGUUUUGAAGCUUGCUCUGUUGCUUUCUUGUAUGAAACACUGAGGCUAGACACAUCAGGAUCAUAGCCAAUAACAAUAUGUACACUAACUAGGAUUUCUUGAUUUAAACAAAAAAGUCAACUAAGUUUGUAUACUUACAGAAAUUGAAAACUGUAACUUAAGAUGAAUCUUUUUAAAGAGUAUGUACAUUUGAAGAUAACUUAGACUAUAUUUAUGAGACCACUUUUUUGUUAUGCAACACCCACUGCAAGUUUUUCUCAUUAUCUCAUACAAAACCUUACUUAAAAAACAAAAAUCACUUGUAAUCAGUGAGCUUUUUGAAUCAGUACUGUUGAAAUUAUAUUUGAG